rnacentral:misc_RNA from 1 species
CUCCACCGUGAUCUGUGGGCAUAUCACCCCUUUCCUCCUUUCUGUGCUGCCUGCCUUCACGUUCAUGCACACGCGCACACAACCGUCGGAGCGCACGCGCGCUUCGACAACAGAGCGAGAGGCAAAACAACUCCUACGCUGUCGUUCGCUGCUGCCGCCGUGUCCGUCUCCCCCACUCCACUCCCUCCCCCGAGCGGCCGUACCUCUCGCGGACCAUUAUGGCGAGUACCCCGCCGCUAUGGCGCCGCCUGCAGCCGCUGCAGCCCACACUGCCGCUCUUUGCCGAUAGAAACCACAGGGCGCGAACGAUUGCCACUGAACAUGCCGCUGCAGCACCGCGUCACAUGUCCUACAGUUUCGUCGUGGUGCCGCCACCCGUGCCAGCCGCCAUGCCUGCCUUUGAGGCGCACGUCAGUACACUGCUGCGCCACGUCCCACAUCCGACCUUUAUCACCUGCACGAGCUACAGUCCGUACUUCACCUCUGCUGCGGCGGAGAGUCUGGCGGCUGACGCAGACACCGCCGGCGAGUCGGCGAACGCGAUGGAGGCGUCUGCGACCCAGCAGGCGCUCUCAUACCUCCACCAAUGUGUCGCGGCAGAUGUGGGUCUUGUCCUCACGGUCACCGCCACGCGCGCCACUCGCCACGCGGAGUCGGUGCAGAGCGCACAAGGGGGAGAUCACGACUCGCAACAGCAUCCGAAGCAGCACACAUCCUCUUCUCCUGCUUCUAUGGAGCCGCCGACGACGACAACGCUGACGGGUGCGAGCAGGGGCGGAACGGCCGCCGUCCUAUCUGACUUUAUCGGCCGCACCGCUACAGCACCGGCCACCGACCUGGACGCUGCGAAGUCCCAAGAAGCGACGCGUCACCGCAGCCGUGGUCUGAUGGUCUUGCGCGGUGAUGACGGCGGGUACACCCGGCAGCGCAUGAUAGCCGCGCAGAAGGGCGGAGCAUCCGCGUCGCCCCCGUCCCCGUCCCCAAGCCCGUACGUCGACUUCGCGGACGGGGCGGAUUUGCUGCGCUUCAUCCACUCCACUCUCAGAGGUCGUGACGGAGAAGCGAUGUGUGAAAUCGCCAGUGACGAGCCUGCUGGUGCAGCAGUGUGCCUGUGCAUAGGCGGGUACCCGCAGGGCCACGUGCUGGACCGACAGUGGGGAGUCGGACAAGUGGGAGCCGAUGCCGCCACCGCUGCAGCUGUGCCGUCGGCGCAGUCGCCCUCGACAUGCCAGACGUUGGCCUCGCUUCGUUUCCUUGAAGAAGUAGACACUGUCUUUGCCGACACGGAGGCGCAGCUGCGACGGGCUCAGGGAACACACAGUGACCCACGUCCUCCGUCGCUCGAGUCCUGUGUGGAGGCAGCUGAAGCCCUUUUCGCUCGCCUCCGCGCCGUGCGUCGUCUGUGGACAACGCCGUCCUACUACCCGCCUAGCGUGCGCGCCGCAUGCACGCGGCGGACAGUUGCGGACAAGGUGUUUCUCAGACCACCUGGAACGCGGCAAUGCAUCGCGGACGGCGCUUGGGACGGGUGUGGCAGCGCAGGUGCCCGCGUGGUCGUGACGCAGAUAAUCACCUCUGCCACUGAGUUUUUCGAUUACGUGGAGGACAUACGGAGCGCGCUGCGCUCGUCGGCACCGCCCGCCAGAGGCGUUCCGUGCGACCGCGACAGAGAUGGCGCAGCUGCCGCCGAGGCGAGGGGAGCGGGUGUGCCAUGCUUGCAAUUAAAAGCAGCGUCGGCGCUGCCGUCAUCGUUGCCCUCUCUCGUCGUAGUGCCGGGGUUAAUGGCGCCGCUGCGGGGGGAACAGUUUCUGCGCUCGGCGCUGCAGCUCAAGGUCAUCCCGAGUGCGCCGUUUCGGCGUGCGCUGCGCGAGUACGAGGGUGCGCUGCACUCCGCUGUGGAGACGCUGCGCAGUGCAGUGUCUUCUAACCCGGUCGAUGUGUAUGAGGAGGCGAAGGAGAGGGCGGAGGCCUGCUUCCAGGAGCGGAUGGUGGCCAUCACGGUGGACAUUGUGCGCGACCUCCGCGCUCGCGGCUACACGCACGUGAACUUCUCCGCCUUCCAGUACGGAUGCGGUGACGCCGUCGGACGCGCGGUGGCCGCGCUGGCAGCAGAAGGCGGAGAAGAAGUAGUGGAACAGUCGUAAAGUCGCGCAGGUGCGCAAGACAGAGCCUCUCUACUCCGUGUGUGGGUGGGCACUUUCGGGUGUAAAGUCGAACACGCACGUGAGCACGUGGGCCGGAUGAGAGGCGUGGUGUGGGCAUGCGAAAUGCUGGAAGCAAGGCCGAGAUGACGCCUUCUCCCCUCCCCCUCCUGCAACCGUCAGCCACAUUCGCAUGAGAAAGUGCGUUGUACCUUCUCUCUUCAGUUCUUAUUCUCCUUUGCAUGUUCUUCCCUAUUCGCCAUCCGCGACUGCUGCUGUUGUUGUUCCCCACCACCACCACCACCACC